GCUUUAGUGGCGCAACUGGUUAGCGCGCCCUGUAGUUAUAGACAAGUAUCGUCCCCUUGCUUAGAAAUGCAGUGGCUGAGUUCGAGUCCCACACCUGGAACA
rnacentral:tRNA from 1 species